rnacentral:rRNA from 1 species
UACGUAGGGGGCAAGCGUUGUGCGGAGUUAUUGGGCGUAAAGAGCGCGUAGGCGGCCAUGCAGGUCAGCUGUGAAAACUCGAGGCUCAACCUCGAGACGUCGGUUGAAACCGCUUGGCUAGAGUCCGGAAGAGGAGAGUGGAAUUCCCGGUGUAGCGGUGAAAUGCGCAGAUAUCAGGAGGAACACCACUAGCGAAGGCAGCUCGCUGGGACGGUAUUGACGCUAAGGCGCGAAAGCGUGGGGAGCAAACAGG